AGUUAAUGAAUUGCUGCCCCUGAGGGCGAUGGGAAAGGAAAACAGGCCGGCUCCAGGCAGAGAGCUGGCCAGCCGCUCAGGUUUCAAAAACACUGACUGCUGUUGCUCUGACAGCCAAUUUGUCCCAGCCUGCCCCCAACAAAAGGCCACAUCUGGUCAUUAGAUCCCAGGGUCUGAAGGACAAUGUGGACGGGCUGUACCAUAUUUGUCCCCUUGUGUUUAUGUGUUGAGCCCUUGGAGCUGUGUUCUUGGUUGCUGAGUUUACACACAAUCACAGCCUCGGUUUACAUUACUGCUGGAAUGGUGACUCAUCCAGAUUUCUGUCAUAUCUGCCACAGGAUGGUUUUUCCACACUGAACACCCAUUCAUUGAUUUACCUAUUUCCUCUUAAUUAUCAUCACUAAUGAUAAUUCUAAUGGUAAAGAAAAGAUAACAGUUAACAAUAAUGAAUUCAUAAAUAAUGAUAAUAAUUAUAAGAAGAAUAACAUUAGUAUCAUCAUAUGACUUACUCUCAACAAAAUUAAAAUAUAAAUUGAUUUGUUUCUCUCUCCUCUUCUCUUUCUCCUGCGCCUCCUCGGACAUAAAACCUCUGGUCACAACUAUUCACAUACAGCAGGAAUAUAUGAAUAAUACACACUUAAACAACACACUUCAUACAUGCACAUAAACACUUACAAUUUGUGCUACACCUUUCACUUUAUGAAUUGUUGAAUAAAACAUGAAAUGAAGAUGAAUGAAUAAAAAUCAUUUGUCACAUUUUCCACAAUCAUAGUCCAUCUCAACUCUCAGACUGCAGCUGCAGCUUCAGUUACAUGGCGUCCUUUCAGUGCUCUUUACUGAUAACAGCUCUCGUUAUCAAGUUUACCUUGUUUGUUGUCUGUUUGCAGAUGCAAACCAUGAAGCAGCAGCAGAAGCCAUUGAGAACAUGGCAGACGCAGUCACACACGCUAGGUUUGUGGGAACAGACCCUGCCAGCGAUGAAGUGGUCCUCAUGAAAAUUCUACAGGUCCUGAGGACUCUGCUGCUGACACCCGUUGGAGCCCAUCUGACCAACGAGUCCGUCUGUGAGAUCAUGCAGUCCUGCUUCAGGAUCUGCUUUGAGAUGCGCCUAAGUGAGCUCCUCAGGAAAUCAGCUGAACAUACACUGGUUGACAUGGUGCAGCUACUGUUCUCUAGGUAAAUGAAUGGGACAGUGGUGAAUGGAGAUGGGUGCAGUGUUAGUUAGACGUGUGUUCAGCUAUACCUUAAUAUGUAUAUAAUACUUAAUACUCCUGAAAUGGUUGGGAAUCAGUACGUUAACAGUAUGUUUUUUAUGCCUCCACACUGGUAACAGGCGUGGCUGGAGGCAUUAUGUUUUUGGGUUAUCCAUCCGACCGUGGGUCCGUCCGACCCUCCGUUCGGUCCAUUAUUGUGAAUGUAAUCACAAGAACACCUGAAGGGAAUUUCUUGAGAAUUGGCACAAACGUUCACAUGGACUGAAAGAUGAACUGAUUGGAUUUGGAGGUCAAAAGUCAUGGACACUGUGACCUCACGUCCGUCACAUUCUUCUGAACGUGAUGUCUCAGGAACACUUCGAGCAAAUUUUUUCAAAUUUGGCACAAACGUCCACUUCCAUCAGAGAUCUUCUUUGUGUCAUCAACACACACUCUCUUGCAAAUAACAUUGCAACAGUAUACAACCCAAUCUCCUUACAUCCAUCCACACGACGUUCACAACACUUCCAGACGAGGUGCGGGGAUGGAGAGGAAACACGCCGUGACCAUGCCCACUUAGCAGACAGGAAGUGAUUGCCAUUUAAAAACCAGUGGCUGAGCUUGAAAUGGGACUUCUUUGUAAAAGAGCAUCUUUGCUUGCACUCAAGGUUGAACUGAUUUAGAGUUUGGUAUUCAAAGGUCACUGUGACCUCACAAAACGCAUUUCAAGAAUUCAUAUGCUAAUUAUGAGAAUUUCACACAAAUGUCUAAUAAUGUAAAAUGAUGAAGACAUUCGGACAGACAUGUUGUAAACUGUCACUUGACUGGUUGACUGAAGCAAACAACCGCGUAGUGGUAAUUGUAGUUUGAAGCAGCACCCAAGAUUCAAUUCUAGUGAUACUGUAUGUUAUAUUUAAAAAAAGUUUUUUUAUUUAUUAUGAAGAACAGGAAAAUAAAGAGCAGUUUCAAACCUCAAAUCUUAGUUGUCUGCCCACAGAAGAAGCAGGCCGGACUGCUGCUGCACUCCUUUAUCACCUCUGGAUUAGUGAUUGUUGGUUUUCUGCAUACAUCUGUCUCUCAGGCCUCAUUAUUCCCCUUCAAGCUCAUGAAUUUCAUUUUGCACCGUGCACAGGGUCAAUGGGCCACUGAUUUACUAAUGCCAUAACAUGAUUUCUCCUUUGCCAUUUAGCAUAAGAGCUCCUCUCUCCACAUCACCCCUCCUCACAAACCACCCCGUCCAGAUGCAUCAGAGUGCCAGUCACAUUCAGUCACAGACGAGGGGAUGAGCCGAUUGAGCUGCACACUACAUGAUCUGCAUAUAGAUGAAGCCGGUCUCUGCUUCAACAGCAAAGCUCCCUGCCCCAUAAAUACCGAGAUGCAGACCUAUAUACACACACACGCGCGCACACCAACACAGGCACAGACACGCACACACAGGCACACAUACAGAAUUAGCUUUGCCAGUGACUGCAGACAUCAAGCAAUCAUGAAAAUCAGAAAAGAAAUCUCAAAAUCUUUCUGCUCAUCUGAAUGUGAAGGAAACCUGCAAAACAAAUGGAGCUUGAUUUAAAGUUCUGGUGUUAUUCACCUACUCUGUGAAGGCCUGUUUGUCUCCAACAGGACUAUUUGACGCAGGAUUUGUCACAAAGUGAUGGGUUACCUUCCCUCCGCUGAAGUCCAGUGGUGGAUUUUGCCAAGCUUGUCGCAAUCCACCGACGCUCCCUCCAAACAUUCUUGGCCUGUUUUUAUUUACUGGCAUGACUCUUGUAUGGCACCUUGUUAUCAUUUCUUCUCACAAGAAUCUACUGUGCGAGCAUGGAAAUAUAGAAACAGUCGUAAACGGAGGCAUCGCUGCACGUGAGCAGGAGAUGUCAAUUUAGUUUGGGCUUUUUAUUGCAUCCUUCUGAUUCUGUGCACACUCACACACCCCACAUCUCAUUUUGCUCAUGUUCAACCCCCAGCCCCCCACUUGUCCACAGACCCUGGAUAAUAUAGAUGUGAGAGGCUCUCAACCCCCCCUCCCACCACCACACUCUCAUCAGAGAAUAAUGAACAGCAGCUCUCUUCAGCUCCUCAGAAGCAGUCUUAGAUUGCCUGCUGAUAGUAUUAGACAUGUUAAUCUGUUGGACCCACAGAUCAUCCAAUAACCGUGCUCGCAAGACAACACUCUAUUAACACUGAGUUAAUGUCAGAAGGGGGGCUGCCUGAUCCUUUUUUUUUGUUUGCCUGUGUGUGUGCGCGCGCAUGCGCGUGUGUGUGUGUGAGUGACUGGUGGUGACAUCUCAUUUUCCGGCAAAGCUUUAGUGUCCACAGAAACAUAGUGGUGCGCGCGCACGCACACACACACACACACACACACACACACACAC